rnacentral:rRNA from 1 species
UACGUAGGGUGCGAGCGUUGUCCGGAAUUACUGGGCGUAAAGAGCUCGUAGGCGGCCUGUCGCGUCGACCGUGAAAACCCGCAGCUCAACUGCGGGCUUGCGGUCGAUACGGGCAGGCUGGAGUUCGGUAGGGGAGACUGGAAUUCCUGGUGUAGCGGUGAAAUGCGCAGAUAUCAGGAGGAACACCGGUGGCGAAGGCGGGUCUCUGGGCCGAUACUGACGCUGAGGAGCGAAAGCGUGGGGAGCGAACAGG